AAGAGACAGAAAUCCCCUGUAUAUUUGGUUUAAACCGUAGCACAAGGUAAGCUAUAUCCAAAUUAAGAGAGAUUUACUUACGUGUCUGAUGAUUUUUCUUGAAUCAAGACCAUACAUUAGCUAAAGAGGACACCUUUCAGUCACAGGUGUACUCAAGUACCAUUUCUGAAAAUGUGGUGUACAGUCAUUAAUCCACAAACUGACAGAAGUGCUUAGGUUAGAAGUUGAAGCUUACUAAAACCACGUAUGGUUUGUACAGUAUCAUCCUCCUCUAUAAAUAAAUAGUGUAUAACCUUUGUGCUCUGGAGACCUAGUAAAGACCCUGGCAGGACAUCACACAGCCUCUUAAUAUAACUUCCCAGCUAUUUGUGGAACUCUGCCUUGGUGUCACUGAGAAACAAAGUUGGAGGUGACAGUUCAGAUUUUGCAUCCUCCUUCCGGAGAGCCAUUUCAGUUGUGCAGCCAAUUGUGUCUCUUACUGUGCAUUUAUAGCUUAAGGAAUCACUGGCAAACGAAAAUAGUCCUGGGCACAGCAGAGAUGGACAGAGGUUGAAGGCAAAGGUACAGCUCCGUUUUUACGUUAAGUUACUGAAAUUGAAUGUUUAUUUACUUGGUUUCUGUUUCAGUGAAAAUGGUAGAGGGAAUAACUGUUAGUGUGAUGUAGUUCAGAGAAGAUACGGUUUAGAAUGUUAAACCAUUUAAGUGAACUCCCAAAUAUCAAAGGACCUAUUAUAUUAAAAUAGCAUAUUAAAACAAAAUACAACUAUUCUCUUCCUUAGUCUCUGUCACUUUGAUGAUUGAAAAUAUUUUUUGCUUAUUUUUCAAUUGCUGAUCCUUUUCUGCGUAGAUAAAUGAGCUUCCAAGUCUAAUGGAUUUUAACUUCUAAACUUCUUUCUCCUCAGAUAAUUAAAAUAAAAACGUGUAAAAUGCAUGUAGCAGAACUCUUUUGAGGUGCUCCGUCUAUCUUACGGUAUUCACGAGCUAGCAUGUUACUAUCAGAAGAAAACAUGCAUCCAACUACAGAAAUGCUUUCUUAUGUCUUUUUGCCUGUCAGGGCUCAGGUUCCUAGUGUGGUUAUUCCUGUGUGCUGUUAGUGGUGAACAGUGCAGAGUUCGUUGAUUUUAUCCACGCAUUGUACUUUUUCAGGACAGCAGUGCAGUUUAGGAGAAUUUAAGGAGUACAGUGUCUAACUGGUUGACUUACGAGAGGAAAAAGUGCUGUGAAAUACAGUGCAUAGAUAAUCAAAAGCAGUAAGGCUUUUUUUGUGUUUGUUCCCUGCUAACUACUUCUUGUGGUUAUUUAUAACAAUGUGAAAACUGUAUCUAUCUGCACAAAUCCUAAGAAGACACACCUGAUUUAGUUGUGCAUAUGAAGAAAGGGAAAUACACAGAAUAUUUCCCUUUUUAAUUUGUGAUUGAAAUCCAUUGUGCGUUGUUGUUCUACUGUUAGUAAUGCAUAGACAGAAGAGCGGGCUGUCACCAACAACGUUUCCUUGGUUUGUAUUUCAGAGGGUAAACAUGUAGAACGUAUAUUUAUGGAUACGUAUGUGCACAGAUGAGUGUACACUGGUUGUAAUGUGUAGUGAUAUAGUAAAGCCCCUGAUAGAGUGAAGCAAAGGGAAAUCCCUAGC
ensembl:lncRNA